rnacentral:tRNA from 2 species
GCCAAGAUAGCUCAGUCGGCAGAGCAGCACCCUCGUAACGUGCAGGUCAAGGGUUCGAUUCCCUUUCUUGGCU